rnacentral:tRNA from 1 species
GAGGGUAUAGCUCAAGUGGUAGAGAGCAUGCUUAGCAGGCAUGAGGUCCUGGGUUCAAUCCCAAGCACCUCUU